CCGUGCUAGAUGGGGAAUUAGCGGUGCCCUGUAACCUGCAAUCCGCUAUAGCAGGAUCGAUGCUGACGCCAGGCUAUUGCUGACUAGUUUGAAAAAAAUUAAGCGAUAUUGAAAUUUCGAUCUGUUGCAAUGAAUAUUUGACGAACCCCGUCAGGCCCGGAAGGGAGCAGCGGUAAGUUAUGAUAAUCAUGUGCCGACAGUUCCCCGAAAUGGAGUUGGCUGAUUUUUAUCGAACAGGAAACAGGAUAGUCAAACGCUGGUGCACGG
rnacentral:SRP_RNA from 1 species